rnacentral:rRNA from 1 species
UACGUAGGGUGCAAGCGUUGUCCGGAAUUAUUGGGCGUAAAGAGCUUGUAGGCGGUCUGUCGCGUCUGCUGUGAAAACUCGGGGCUUAACCCCGGGCCUGCAGUGGGUACGGGCAGACUAGAGUGCGGUAGGGGAGACUGGAAUUCCUGGUGUAGCGGUGAAAUGCGCAGAUAUCAGGAGGAACACCGGUGGCGAAGGCGGGUCUCUGGGCCGUAACUGACGCUGAGACGCGAAAGCGUGGGGAGCGAACAGG